rnacentral:rRNA from 1 species
UACGGGGGGGGGCAAGCGUUGUUCGGAAUUACUGGGCGUAAAGGGCUCGUAGGCGGCCAACUAAGUCAGACGUGAAAUCCCUCGGCUUAACCGGGGAACUGCGUCUGAUACUGGAUGGCUUGAGUUCGGGGAGAGGGAUGCGGAAUUCCAGGUGUAGCGGUGAAAUGCGUAGAUAUCUGGAGGAACACCGGUGGCGAAGGCGGCAUCCUGGACCAACACUGACGCUGAGGAGCGAAAGCCAGGGGAGCAAACGGGG